CUAACUAUCUACUACCUUAGCUAGAAUCUAAGGCCCACUCG
rnacentral:tRNA from 1 species